UACGAAGGGAGCUAGCGUUGUUCGGAAUCACUGGGCGUAAAGCGCACGUAGGCGGAUGUGUCAGUCAGGGGUGAAAUCCCGGAGCUCAACUUCGGAACUGCCUUUGAUACAGCACGUCUUGAGUCCGAUAGAGGUGGGUGGAAUUCCUAGUGUAGAGGUGAAAUUCGUAGAUAUUAGGAAGAACACCGGUGGCGAAGGCGGAUCUCUGGGCCUGUCCUGACGCUCAGGCGCGAAAGCUAGGGGAGCGAACGGG
rnacentral:rRNA from 1 species